rnacentral:rRNA from 1 species
AUGCAACCGCCUCCUAGAUGUACCGUCUCUGAUGGCACUGUUUGUCGCCUCUGCCCCUCACUUUAUGGGCUGAAACAAGCUCCUCGUGCCUGGUUUGAGCGUUUCUCCGCCGUCAUCACAGAUUUCUCUUCUAGUACUCAUGAUCCUACUCUGUUUAUUCACACUCAUGGUCGCACCCUUUUGCUCCUUUAUGUUAAUGACAUGGUUAUCACAGGGGAUGACCACCAAUUCAUUGAUUUUGUCAAGAAACGUCUUCAUGAGCAAUUCUUGAUGAGUAAUUUGGGUUCUCUUUGCUACUUUCUUGGACUUAAGAUCAUUUCUUCCCUUGAGGGCACUUAUCUCUCUCAAGAGAAGUACAUCCAAGGUGUUCUCACUCGUGCUUGCCUCACUGAUCAGCGCACGGUUGACACCCCUAUGGAUUUUGUUCUUCAUCUUUGUCCUGGUGAGGGUGAACCACUUGCGGAUCCCACUUGCUACUAUCAUCUUGUUGGGAGCCUUGUCUAUCAAGGCAUCACUCGUUUUGACAUUUCUUAUGUUGUGCAGAUUCUGAGUCAGUCUGUCUCUGCUCCCACUCAACCUCACUAG